GCCCCCAUCGUCUAGUGGCCCAGGACGGGGCCCUCUCAAGGCCCAAACAGCGGUUCGAGUCCGCUUGGGGGCACCU
rnacentral:tRNA from 1 species